rnacentral:lncRNA from 1 species
AAAGUAUGUCAUCAAUCAUGAGUCUCUAAAGCCUUGUUCACACUGCAGGCCUUAAUGCUCAAAUCACUUUUGUUUUUCAAAUCUGUUUUGGAAUACUGACUGGCCAAACAGCAAGUUACAAGUGACCGGACUUGUGUGUUCAGACAGCAGUUAUUUGCUGACAAGGCUAUGCUAGUUGUCAUAGUUACGACGAGUGUGUGCGCAGUGGUGUAGGCUAUUUGGUGGUGGUACUCGUGCUUCCUAUCAUUCUGAAGGUAUGUAACAAGCUAAGGGGACAACAAUGCCUGUCAUGGACGUUUCCUAUCAUUCUGAAGGUAUGUAACAAGCUAAGGGGACAACAAUGCCUGUCAUGGACGUUUCCUAUCAUUCUGAAGGUAUGUAACAAGCUAAGGGG